rnacentral:rRNA from 1 species
AUGAGAAUUUUUUGUGCAGCAUACACAUGGAUAAACAAGGUGAAAGGAGUUGGCUCGGAGUUGCAAGAUCCAACGGCCACCUGUAGCACUUGUGUGAUGACGAAGUUGAAGAGGAUCUCCAAGAAGCCGUAUCAUGGCGGGUUUGGCCAGCACGAAGAAGAAGGUCUGCUCGGCGGCGCCGGCCUCGGGCCAGAGCUGCUCGAUCUUGAGGACCGACUUCUCCGACUCGGCCAAUUCCUAGGACGUGUGCGGAGCUCGCCGACGGCGCUCUCCAUUGUUGCCUGCACGAUGACGCUGGUCGGGUGGCCAGUGGUGUCCGGGGACGGCGAGUUGAUCUUGAACGUAGGCGCUGGGCUUUCCAUCCUCACUAGCGGCGGUUCGGGGACGACGAGUUGUUCCGGGUUCUGCUCUCGCUAG